rnacentral:misc_RNA from 1 species
GAAGAAUCCACUGAGAGUUGUGCCACUGUUUGAGAAGCUUGCAGAUCUUGAGGCAGCCCCUGCAGCUUUAGCUCGACUCUUUUCUAUUGAUUGGUACAUGAACAGGAUUAAUGGAAAGCAGGAGGUCAUGAUCGGUUAUUCAGAUUCUGGGAAGGAUGCUGGUCGUUUUUCUGCAGCUUGGCAGUUGUAUAAGGCACAAGAGGACCUUAUAAAGGUCGCUAAGCAGUAUGGCGUGAAGUUGACAAUGUUUCACGGACGGGGUGGUACUGUCGGUAGAGGAGGUGGCCCUAC